GUCCACGCCGUAAACGAUGGGCACUAGGCGUCGGGGGAGCGACCCUCCCGGUGCCGUCGCUAACGCAGUAAGUGCCCCGCCUGGGGAGUACGGCCGCAAGGCUGAAACUCAAAGGAAUUGACGGGGCCCGCACAAGCGGUGGAGCAUGUGGUUUAAUUCGAAGCAACGCGAAGAACCUUACCUGGGCUUGACAUGCUGGUGAAAGCCGGUGGAAACAUCGGUCCCUCUUCGGAGCACCAGCACAGGUGCUGCAUGGCUGUCGU
rnacentral:rRNA from 1 species